GGGUCCGCCAGGCGACCCUCCGAGCCCAGGCGGCCAUCCCACCCAAGCUGGUUCCCACGACCCCUUCCACCCUCCUUGGUCUCCUGGGGAGAGGUUUGGAGCUUUUAACUGCCCCGCAGUGGCUUCCCUAGGCGGGCCGCACGGCCCGGCGGUUCCCAGGACCCACUCAGGAAGCGAUAGGGGCCGGGGGCUGCAGAGUCACCUCCGCCCGAGCAGACCUCCCCAGGCCGGAUAGCUGAGGCCGCCCCGCCUCGAUGGCGAGCUUCCUACCCGCAGGGUCGGCCGCGGGAGGGGGAGGCUGGCCCCGUUUUCCCACUCGGCGUCCGGCUCCUCACUGAGGACUCAUUUUUAACCCCGAGUUAGGGGAACCCGUUUCUCCGGUGAGGACACUGAGGCGCAGAGGGGUAGGCAGGCGGCUGAGGCCCACGUGUCUGACGCCGCCGCCGCUACCCAGCAGGCUGGGGACCCGCCAGUCUCCGACCAUCUCUCUGGCUGCCCAGAGGAGGGACCUGGCCAGGAUCCGCGGGAAAUCCUGCCCCCUGCUGCUCCUGGGUGGGCGACGCCAGGCCUGGCUGGCUGGGCAGCAGCCUUGCUGGCCAGGCGAGGCCAGCUGGAGAGGAAGAACUGCCAAGAAUAGCCAACGCUCAGAGCUUUAAUAAAGCUCCUACUGUGUGCUGGACCUGCCCUGUGCCCUUGACCUGAAGGAACUGGUGAGUCACCUCCAGGAGGGACGCCGUGAUGCCCAAACUAGGGCUCAGUCAGGAGAGCAGCUGAUGGAGCUGGGGUGUGGACAUAAUUAUUAUGAAAAUACCCUCAUUCCAGGAUCGGGGCAUUUGUUGAGUACCUACUGUGUGCUAGACCUCCUUGUCUCACUGAGUCCUCAAGACCAUUCAAAAGGGGGCUCUCACCCCAAUGCCCUGGACACCCAGGUGGUGCAGGUCCUGCUCUGCCCUCCAUCACAGACUGAGGAAGGCCCCUAACUAGUAAUAAUAAUGGCUGACCCUUGCACAGCACCUACUGUGUGCCGAGUCUCUUGGCUCUGGAAACCAAGAGCAAAAGGCAGGGAAUGAAACAGAGCUGCCUCUCAGGGCCCGCAGUCCAGCGGGGAGGCGGCUCUGGGCUGAACCAGGCAUGAGGCUGGUGAGAACAGAGAGGUGGAGCCAGGCGAGGGGCAGCAGGAGUAGGGGUGGGACUGGCCUGCGAUUUACAGUCAGUGGUCAGGAGAGGAGGUGAGGGAGGCAGCUGUGUGAGAUCUGGUGGGUAUUUCAGGCAGAACGAACAGUCAGGGUGUGUGCUGCAGGUGGGCAGGUGCCUGGGGUGCAAGAAAGAGUGAGGCGGCCUGCGAGGCUGGAGUGGAGGGAGAUAAAGGGAGGGACGAGGAUAGAGAGAUUGUGGACAGAUGGAGUAGGGAUUGGUGGGCCAUGCCUCUUUUGAGGGACAUGGGAGCCGUAGAGGGAUUUAGAACAGGGGAGAGGUAUGACCCGACUUAGGUCUUAGCAGGUUCCCUGUGGCUGCUGUGGUGGGCAGGGCAGGAGCCCCAGAGGAAACCAGGUGGUGCCAGUGGGUGGUGAGAAGAUAGUGGAUUCCAGCUGUCUUUUGAGGGUAGAGUUUGAUAGGAUGUGCUGGUGAAUUGGGUGUGAAUGUGAGGACAGAGGCAGGAACAACUCCCAGGUUUGGGACUUCUGGUACCCAAGGAGGAAGGGACUGCUGGAGAUGGGACUGGGGAAAGCUCAGGGUGUGGAUACUAAGUAAUUUAAUCCUCAGAAUAAUCCUAGGAGGUAUGAUGCUUUUGUAUGUUCUCAUUUUAUAAUUUGGGGAAACUGAGGCCCAGAGAGGGCAAGGGAUGUCUGUGGUCAGCAGAUGUGCUGGAAUUUGACUCUUGCUCUAGACACAGGAGAGGUCAGACUGAACCCAGACUGAACCCUGCUGUUGGUUAUUGGGUGAGAUGUUUAAGUUCCUGGAGCCUCAGUUGCACCAUCUGUAAACUGGGGCAACAGUAGAGUCACAUCAUAGACUUGUGAAAAAUGAUAGUAUUACUCCACUCAGCGCAGCUGGGGCGUACGUCCACUACUCCUCUGAGGAGGAGGGGACCAGAGGAGGACUUGCACCCCCUCCCUCCAGUCCCCUGAGCUGUGGCCUGCCAUCAGAGGCCCGCUCUGACUGUAGACUCCACCAUUCUGAUUCUAAGACACGUGGCAGGUGUGGUGCCGACUGGGGUGGCCACACCCAGGCCCAGGCCAUGGAGGGCAUUGAAUUUGACCCCUCUGUGGUGUGGCAACCUCUCUUGUUCCUUGCAGGAUCGAGGGAAGCCACAUGAACUGCUGGAGGGACGAGCACUUUGGCUAUGAUUGUCCCGAGCCAUCCCUGCAGGCCCCAGAGGCCACCUCGGUGUACAGAGUGCUGUGGCUCCACUGCAGGCUCAGUCUAGCUCUGGGGCCAGUGGGCACGUGGCUGGAUUUCUUGCCCGCACUGCUGGGUGCCAAGGAGCAGCCUGCUCGGCCUUGGUUGCAGCUGGAGGUCGGGCAAUGGCCGCAGAGUGUUCGAGCGAAGCCCUCCCCGGCGGGCCCCGGCCCUGGUACUGGGCAGCUGGGUGCUGGUUGGGUCCAUUCAAAGCUCUCCAGGCUAGACGGAGCCUGUGAGCACUGCCCAGGGUGGGUGAGUGACCCACAGGGGACUUCAGGCAGCUCUGUCCAGAUGUGGGUCCAACCAGGACAACUGCUCCUGCCCUGGUUGUGCGAGGUGACCCCAAGCUUCCAUGAGAGAGAAGCAAAACCAGAAAGCCCAAGAACCUGCUGUCUCCCUCCAUCGCGCUGUGUCCACAGCUUGCCCUGAGCCCGGCAGCUCUUCAGGAGCGGGGCAGGGUGGGGCAGCUCCAGAGCCGGCUGUUGGCCCUGGUGUCUGGGGGCUUGGCUCCCAGUCGCAUUGGCCAUUUGCCCUGGUCACUGCACUGGCCUUGGCCCUGCAGCCGCUUCAGCCCUGAAGCUCCACGUUCCUUCCUUGGAGCACGUGAGCCACUGCCUAUGGACCUUUGUCCGUGGCUGGGGCACACAUCAGUCUCCCCACUGAUCCCACCUUUGCCCCGGUCUGCCGAGCAUGGCCUAGAGGCACCAUGAGGACGUGUUGUAAAUUUGCGUUCCAAGUGUGACUGACCAGCUCUUGGAGAGUUUGGAGCAGGGUGUGGGACUAGGCAAGACUUUAUCUGUGACUUGUCCCUCCCACCUCUCCUGCUCCCCUCUGCCCCUGUCCAUUCUCCUCUUCCUCCUCCCCGCCUUCCCCCCACCGACCAACCAGCUUUGGGCAGCCCUCUGAGACGGGGCUAUGCUGCCUGAGGACAUCUGAGGUCAGUGCAGUCCAGACGUUUCUUUUGGCUCAGAGAAAUUGGUCUGCCUGACAUAAACACCUCCAUCCUAAGCCCACCCCUAGGACAUGAACACCUAGGACUGUUGAGUGGUGGUGACAAACCCUUCCCUAGGCAGAGCCAAGAGGCUACUCCUGGAGCAGUUCCAGCUCCAGGCAGGAGACAGGCAAUGCCUGUCACAUGCGAUGGUUGUCUGUGCAGCAGUUCCCAGAGAGGGCCACUUGUCGUCCCUUAGCACCCAUCGUCUCUUAGCACUGGCUGCAGGCUGGGAGGCAGCGGCUCCAUAAGCCCCUGGCCUUUCAGAAACAAGAUGCCCCAGUGGGGAGGCAAGAGGGUGAGCGCUGGAGCUCUGGAGGGAGCGUGCCCCUUACCUCGGCGAAAGGGGGGUAGUAUCCUACCCACUUCAAAGGGUUAGUAGGAAUUAAACGUGUUGGGGCAGUGCUCGGCAUGAUGCAGGAGCCGUGAUGUGGUUAAGUUUGGGCCUGAGGGGUGUGAACCCUGGCUCUGACACUUCUGACGCCUGCCAAGGCUGAGGUGGGCGCGGCCUAGGCCCUUUGGAGGAACGGCGUGCCGGCAGUGGCUGGACUGCAGUGAGCAAGGCAGAGCGGGGCAGCUGAGGUCACAGGGGCCUGCACGGGCCCCAUCUCCUAGGGCCUUGUGGUCAUGGCAAGUGUGGUGGGAGUCCCUGAAGGGUUUCAAGAAUCGACUUGAUUUAGGCCUCAAGAAGUCACUCUGGCCUCUGUGGGGGAAGGGCUACAGGGGCCGAGGGAGGCAGGGAGCCCAGCAGAGGUGAGGCGGCUGGUGGAGGUGGGAGGCUGCACUGUACUUUGAAGACAGUGAUGGUUGCACUGGGGGCUGGCGCGAACACGAGAACAAGGAGUCAGGAAGGACUCCAAGAUUCCAUUUGCUGAGAUGGGGUGGAGGGAGGAGCGGGGCGGGAUCCAGCCCUGCUUGCAGUGCCUCAGACACCCGGGAGGAGGUGGCACUUAGGAGGGAGCAAGAGUCAGCCAGACAAGCGGUCAGAGGAGCCCUGGCACCAGCGUGCGGGUCCUCCUACAUUUAGUUCAGGAAGAGGAGGCAGCAGCGAAGAUCGGAGAACUGAGAAGGAACCACCACUGAUUUGGCAACGUGGAGGCAAAAGACCGAUUGGAAGUGGGUUCUAGAAAGGGAGAGGAGGAGGAAACUAAGGGAAGAGACAAAUGGUUUGGUGGCUGGAUGGCAAUAAUGAGGGGUUAAGGGAGCGUUUUGCAAAGGUGGGAGAGCAAUGCAUAUUCAUAGGAAAUGACUCAGCAAUGCAGACAUGGAACCUGGGACCACAAAGCUGUGUGUUGAACAUCCGUCCAGGAGGGCAGGGGAGAGUGCCCGGGACCCACCCUGGCCACCAGCAGAGCACAGGCGAGCAAUGCAAACCCCGUGCGGCAGGGCCACCGUGAGCAAUGAAGGACACACCAGCUCCACAGAUGCUUCCCAAGGCCCUGCUCCCACUGGGCAGGGGAUGGAAGAAAAAGAGUUUCUCCCACAUUUUCUUGUGCCUGCCCCUGGCUAAAGGUGACAAUCUCUCCUGGACCCUUUGGACACGAGCCAGUCUUUUUUGACGGGGAGGAUGUGCUGAGGGCCGAGUUUGUUUCUUGACUGUCUGGUGAUGAACUUCUUUAUUCGCUGACGGAGUCACAGUGCUUACCUGGCGUCAAUCUUUGAACGACUGCUGUCACCCACGCACAGGAGGGCCAGACCCCAAUCUACCAGCCUGGACCUGAAACAAACACUCGUCUCUUCUUGGAUUUGCAUAAAGGUAAGACUGACCAAAAAGGCCAAGAGGUGUAGGGUCUGGGGCUCUUCUCAUCUUCUCCCUAAGUUUCAGAAACACGUCCAUUGGAAAAAGCCCUGACCUCUGACCUCGCACAAAGCAACCGUUGAUCUUUACAGUAGCCUCUAUUUUAGUAUUAGACUGUUGACCAAAUUUUAAAACUCUGACAUCCUAACAUCAAGGAAGCUUCAACAUCACCGAGUAGGAAAUGAAAAUAAGGGUUCCCCACCCCGAGCUGUCACUGCGGCUGACCUUCGUCCUGCUGAGCGUGAACCCUGACUCGGAACGCACACCAAACUGCGCUGCCUGGGAGCGUCAUUCACAGACGUUCAUGCGAACCGAAGGGGCUUCGGAGGACUCCAUGCUGCGGUGACAGAGCCUCCACACAGCCCUCCCCACUCCAAAUCAGACAGACCCGGGCUAUGACACCCUGCCACGAGACACGGCCCAGGGUCAAAGGGACACUCCAAUCCCCUUUUCUUGGCUGGCAGCUUGUGACCCAUGCUGGGCUGUCCCACCUUGUUUUCACGUCACAACCAUUUCAGAUUCCCCUGUCGACACCUGGAGGGGCCUUGUCUGGGACACGCUCCAGACAGACAUGCAGCGACUGCGGAACAGAGGCUGAGAAGGAUGACUGUUUAUAAACAUUUGGAAUUUUAUUUAAAAAAAAAAACAUCACAACCAUGAACAUUGUUACAGUUAGAGGCCCUCUUGGUUCUCCACAAUGAUACUGAGCAUGCUCACAAGGGAUUCCCAUUGUUAAGUCUUAGUUAAACAACCAUCUUUAAAUGAA